rnacentral:tRNA from 1 species
AGGGAUGUAGCUCAGUGGUAGAGCACUUGACUAGCAUUUGUGAGGCUGUGAACUCCAUUCCUA